rnacentral:rRNA from 1 species
GACGGAGGAUGCAAGCGUUAUCCGGAAUGAUUGGGCGUAAAGCGUCCGCAGGUGGCAGUUCAAGUCUGCUGUCAAAGACCGGGGCUUAACUUCGGAAAGGCAGUGGAAACUGAACAGCUAGAGUAUGGUAGGGGCAGAGGGAAUUCCCGGUGUAGCGGUGAAAUGCGUAGAGAUCAGGAAGAACAUCGGUGGCGAAGGCGCUCUGCUGGACCAUAACUGACACUCAGGGACGAAAGCUAGGGGAGCGAAUGGG